UUAUCUCUGUAGAGUCUGCAUAUCAAUAAGCGGAGGAAAAGAAACUAACAAGGAUUCCCUUAGUAACGGCGAGUGAAGCGGGAAGAGCUCAAAUUUGAAAUCUUCAAGGUUUUACCUUGACGAAUUGUAGUUUAAAGAAGUGUUUUCUAUUGGUGUUUUGGUAAAAGUUCUUUGGAAUAGGACAUCAUAGAGGGUGAGAAUCCCGUAUUUGACCAUUACUUCCAGCGUUGUGAUACACUUUCAAAGAGUCGGAUUGUUUGGGAAUGCAGUCCAAAAUGGGUGGUAAAUUUCAUCUAAAGCUAAAUAUUGGCGAGAGACCGAUAGCGAACAAGUACCGUGAGGGAAAGAUGAAAAGAACUUUGAAAAGAGAGUUAAACAGUACGUGAAAUUGUCAAAAGGGAAGCGUUUGACACCAGUGUUGUUUUUCCGAAAAUCAAUUACAAAAUGGCAGUGAUUCUGUGUUGUAUUGACCUUAUCAGCUUUCUGCACUCUUUUUUGAGUCUUUUCUUAAUGCACUUUUCGUCUAACAAGUCGAACAUCAAUUUCUUUUGUUGUAAAAGAGGUCAUUGGAAGGGUGGCUUUCCUUUCGGAUGAAAGUGUUUAUAGCCUUUGACUUCUGCAAUCGGAGAGAUUGAGGUCUGCAGCGUAGAUCCUUCUGGAUUAGAUACACUUGUGCUAAGUUUAAACCGUUUCAUAGACAACUUGUUGACUAUUUAGAUCAUGUCGCUUACUCGCUUAUGCUAAUUUUACCUACGCUUAGGAUGUUGACGAGACUGUCGAUCUC
rnacentral:rRNA from 1 species